rnacentral:rRNA from 1 species
AGUGAACGCUGGCGGUAGGCCUAACACAUGCAAGUCGAACGGCAGCACAGUAAGAGCUUGCUCUUACGGGUGGCGAGUGGCGGACGGGUGAGGAAUACAUCGGAAUCUACUUUUUCGUGGGGGAUAACGUAGGGAAACUUACGCUAAUACCGCAUACGACCUACGGGUGAAAGCAGGGGAUCUUCGGACCUUGCGCGAUUGAAUGAGCCGAUGUCGGAUUAGCUAGUUGGCGGGGUAAAGGCCCACCAAGGCGACGAUCCGUAGCUGGUCUGAGAGGAUGAUCAGCCACACGGGAACGGAGACACGGUCCAGACGCCUACGGGAGGCAGCAGUGGGGAAUAGUGGACAAUGGGCGCAAGCCUGAUCCAGCCAUACCGCGUGGGUGAAGAAGGCCUUCGGGUUGUAAAGCCCUUUUGUUGGGAAAGAAAAGCAGCAGGUUAAUACCCCGCUGUUCUGACGGUACCCAAAGAAUAAGCACCGGCUAACUUCGUG